CAGCCGCCGCGGGAAAACGUAGGUGGCAAGCGUUGUCCGGAAUUAUUGGGCGUAAAGGGCUCGCAGGCGGUUUCUUAAGUCUGAUGUGAAAGCCCCCGGCUCAACCGGGGAGGGUCAUUGGGAACUGGGAAACUUGAGUGCAGGAGAGAAAAGUGGAAUUCCUAGUGUAGCGGUGAAAUGCGUAGAGAUUAGGAGGAACACCAGUGGCGAAGGCGGCUUUUUGGCCUGUAACUGACGCUGAGGAGCGAAAGCGUGGGGAGCGAACAGGAUUAGAUACCCCCGUAGUCCCUGUCUCUUAUAC
rnacentral:rRNA from 1 species